UAUUUUUCAAUUUGUCAAAAUAUGGAAUGCAGACAUAAUAAUAAAUAGAAUUUAAGAGAUACCAAACUAGUGAUGCAACAUAAUGAACCUAUUAACUUGUAUUUUAAAAGAGAACCUUAGAAAGGCCAUACUUAGGACUCUAAAAUUUUCAUUCUACUUAUGAUCUAACCAUGGGGGAUUUUGGAAAGAUCAUAACCUCAGAGAAAGGCAUCAGACUAAUACCUGCAUGGAAAUUUGCACAAGAUUUCAGAUUCCAAUCAUUGAGUUCAAGGCAGUUUAAAUACAAAGCUCGCAAGUAAAUUCACAAGUUCAAUAUUUGAAGACCAAAAUUGACUCAAGAAGAUGCUCUAUAUGCUUAAUUAUCAUUUUAGGAUACUUCAAUUAUGUGAAUACAAGAAAAAAAAAUAUUUUCUAUUUCACUCUUUUUUUCAUUUGUUUCUUAGAAAAAAACUUAAUUUCUUAAGCAUUUCUUUUCACAUAAAACUUUAUACUAUAAAAACUAUUACUUGUUAUUUAUUACUAUUAUUAUUGUAAUAAUUCAUACAAUGAUCAAAAGAAAGAAAGAAAGAAAGAAAGGAAAAAUCAUUGCAUGAUAAAAUUGCUCUAUAGAAUAGAUUAAGUUAAUAAACAAAUUCAUUUUUUAAAUUUUCUUAUGCUUAUUGUAAGUAAUUCACUUUCAUAGCAAUCACAUUUAGCUCUAGCAUAUUCAAUAUCAAAAAUGAAAAAAAAAAAAAAGGAACAAAAAGUAAAUAAAUAAAUAAAUAAGUUUCUUCCAAACCAAUAAGCUGAUAUCAAAUUGUCCAACUUUGUAUGAUGAGGUUAGAGAGAUGGCAGCCCCAGUUGCAAUCCUAUUGUUUUGGUCAAGGGUUUACUUGUUAUCUAUCAUGCUUAAGGUUAAUCCCCUGCAUGAUAAAAUAUAGACUUAAUGGUAAAACUUAUGAAAUAGUUUUAUGUUGUUACCUUUUCUACAGAAAGAAAAUAAGAAACUAUUAAUUAUUAAGUUUAUCAAACUUCUAUCACAUUUUCUAAGAAAAAUAGGAAGAAAAAAAAAUCAUUAAUAUCUUGUUGUUUCCUUUUUUUUUUUCAAGAUAACAAUGGAGCUACUCCAAAGUUUCAACUUUUCUAUGCUUUCUCUUUACUGUUGUCUUGCCAAAGUCUCACUUUGUCCACCCUGCUAAUAAGCAAACAUGCCAUUGGAGGGAUGAUAUUGGCCCUACUGGGGACUAGAUUUUUAUCCAACUUAAGAGAAACCUAGCCAUAGAAGGUGCAUCCACACAAAGAAAGAAAAAGGAAAUGCCUUAUCUUCAAAAUGCAGGGGCCAAAUGAGAGAGAUGCCUAUUGUCCCCACCCAGUCAAAGAAUGAAAAAGAAAAAUCAAAUGAACAUGACAUAAAAGAUAGUAAAACGUUUGGAGACUGGAAUUCAAUGAAUUAUAGCUCAUUGUAUCAUGUGGAGAGUUAGGCUAUAAACUUGUUUUUAUGAUAGCGAAACAUAGUGAAGCAUUGAAAAGAGAGUUUUUUAAAUUAUUGAUACAUAGGGUAGUCAAUGGAUGAAGAGGAUGGCUAAUGUUAGCAAAUAGCUAAACAAGAAGCUUAAUAGUAAACCCCUUUCAGAUAUAUGGCUAGAAGGACAAGUAAGAUGAAAUCAUUAAAUGAAUCUUUGUUUCUUUGAUGGGGAUUGCAUUUUUUUUACUUUUUCUCUGAUGGAACUUUGAAGUUACAUUAUAUUUUGAGAAAACCAAAAAACAUGAAAAACUGGAGAAAAAAAAAAACACUCGACAAAACUCCUAGCACCCAAAAAUGAAGGUACAUUAAAGUAAAAGUAAAUUUUUUUUGGUUAUUGUGUCUUUGAUUAAAUGAUCUAUAACUUGAAAACCAAAAAGAAACAAAGAAAAAAAACAAAAAAGAGAAUGAUCAACCAAAAGAAAAAAAAAAAAUCCCAAAUAGUUAGUGUGGAUACAUUGAAGCCUCUUCCACCAAAUCAAUUAGGUGAAAUAUGGGUUCGAGGGCAAACAUGAUGCAGGACAAAGUUUGAUCAAAAGCUUGUGUUAGUUCCUCUUCGCAACGAUUUAUAACAACAGGUGACCUUAUCUGAAUCUCCCAAUUAAUUAGGUUCCAUUCAAAUCGAACCAUCUUAAUUCAUUUAGAAAGGAAACAUGGUGGUUAAGACAUCAAUUUUGGUUAAAAUCAAAUUAUUAAUGUUUUAAUUUUGCCUUGUAUUAACUUGUGAAGCCAAACAAUGUAUUCCUAAUCAAACUGCUUAAUCUCACAAGUGGCUUGCCUUGUGUUGUGGGACUCCUAAGCUAACCCUCAUCUUGCUAACAUCUGAUUUGCCAAAUUAGGCAAAUUAGACCAGUCAGACCUGUUAUAACAUAUUACUGAAUACCUAAGAUCCAAAGUUUGAUUAUUUCAAUUGGUCUUUCAAUUAGAACUCUAUGACAUAUGUGAAAUAUAAAACUGCUUCUGAAUUUUGUAUCUCUUUGUACCAUUGAGUUUCAAAUAUUCCACAUUAAGGAAAAUGGGUGCUCAAUAAAAGAGAAUGAAAUAAUGAUAAGAUUUUCAUUCUUGAAUAUUUAUAAGCCAAUCUUGGUUAUUAUAUCUUGAUCUAUAGCUAACUCUCUUGCCAAUUUGGUUGGAGCUAACUCUCUCGGGAUGUGAAUUGCCUGAGAUAUGAUGGCCUCAAAUGAAAACAGAAAGGAAAGGGAAAAACCAACCAGAAAGAAAAGGAAUUUGAUAAUUAGGAAAUUGGCAGGAAGAAAAAGAAAAUGCAUUCAACCUAGUAGAUAAAAUUAGUAAAGUGUCUCUCCUAUAAGCAUAAGAAUUUCCACUCAAAGAACAAAUAUCAAGCUUAUGUCAAUCAGCUAAAUUAAAAAUGUAAAAAUGAGCCUAAAAAGUCAAUUCCUGAUUUUUAAGAAGUUAGAAAAUCACAAAAUUGCAUUUGCCCCAUACAUGAGAUAACAGGAUUUGUAUAGAAGUAAAAGAAUGGUUGGUGAAAAACAGAUGUUGAAGUCCAUUUAAGAAAUUAAAAUUAAGGUAAAUUAGGAAGCCUUUUCCCUCCAAAAUUGCAUAAACCCCAAAACCUAUCCAAUGUUUCUCCUGAAUAGCAAUUGUACAUGAGAUAAAUAUAAUCAAAUGACAUGAUUUUCAACAUCAGAAUUUUUAGAUUUUUGAAAAAAUGCUUUUAGUCCAUACCCAUUAAUUUUGAUAAACUUAAUAUUCAUUUUUCCCCUUCUUCUUAGUGUUUACAUGAAGAACAAAAUUAGUCCAAGGGGGUUACUACUUUGAUGGAUUCAAAAUAAAAAAUAAAUAAAUAGAUAAAUAAAAUGAAAAAAAAAAAAGAAACAAGAUUAAGAUGAGUCAAAGUGUAGCAUCCUAAUUAGGAAGAGCUUUGCUCUAUUCGAAGCUCAUAGCCUUUGAUUUCAUGAGGUGCAGACAAGGCACUAUAAUAAUAGCAGACUGCAUUGAAUUUCAUAUCACUAAAAUUUUCAACUUCAUCUUAUGCACGGAAGACAAAAAAACACAAAAGAGAAGGGACAGGAGCAAUCAUUGCUUCCAAGCUAAGCUUCGAUGCACAUGAAAAUGGAAAGAAGAAUAAGAGUGUAGAGAUGGGGUAUGUGAAAGUAUGGUGAGGGAUUGAUGCUCAUAAUAAUUAGUAAAUAUAUACCAGGGAAUCCAAACACAAACCCUAACCAGAAAAAGAGAGAUGGGAGGAAAUAGAAGUGAUGAAAAGAAACCCAAUUUGAAAUCAAAGAAAGAAAGAAAAGAAUAAUAGAGUGUGAAGCCGUAGAAGGAAUCAAAAGAAUACCUAGAAGAUGUGGGCGAUGAAGUGGCUAAAGAAAUUGGUCGUUGAGCAAGUUGGUCAUUGAUCUAAGCCCCCUCAGUGAUGAGGAUGUCAGUGAAGACAAGAAUCUAGUCGGAGAAAUAUACAGUGAUGAGGAUGGGUAUUAUGGCUUUGGGAGAAGAGUUCAAUGGUCUCUAAUGGUGGCUAAGAAGAGUGAACGAUAAAAGACAUGGCUCUCAGUGGGUCCAGCAGUCUAAACCGAGCAGGAGAGAUAGUGCUUAUAUAGUGGCUCUAUGGUCGCGAACAAGCCCAUGUGAUUGUGCCUAUUAGGCCAUAUAUUGCUAGAAGAGCUUUUAUAGCAGCAACCCAGCCCAUGUGGUUGUGCCUAUUGGGCCAUAUAUUGCUAUAAGAGCUUUUAUAGCAGCAACCCAUUCGUUCCCCAGCUAUAUGAGCUUUUAUAGUAGCGAUCUAUUCCUCCCUCAGCCAUAAUGAUGCAGAAAUUUCUAAUCUGUUGCGACUUAUACAAGUAUGAUACUAUAUAUAUGUUUUGGUUGUGGAUUUUGUUGGCCCAAUUAAAACUAUGUCACAAUAUCUCACUUUUCUUCUAGGUACAUGUGUCCAACAUUUCAAACGAUGCCCUACCAUGUGAAUUUUCUUAGCAAUAAAUGAAUAUUUGUCCUUGCCUUGGAAGACUUUGACUCCUUACUAAGAAAUGUGAUGAAGGAAAGAAGUUAUGAACUUUUCAAUUAUAGAUUUCUCUGAAAAAGUGUGUUAUAUAUUUCAAGAAGACAAUAAAUAACUUUUUUGACCAAAUAAGAUAUUAUUUGAUCUUGUUUGUAAAGGUGUCUUGGCAGCUUCUUCAAGUAGCCAAGAAAAUUCAAUCUUUAAGAUUCUUAAUUUGUACUAUCAUCUCGAGAAACAGCCAAAUAUUAUGUAUCAUGAAUGUUAAACACAUGCAAGUAAUGAAAUUAUGUAAAUUAAUGUCAUAUUUAAUGGAUGGUAUAAAGUAGAAUAAAAUAUUAAUGAAAUAUGAUAUAGUUUUUGUACAAAAUUAUGUGCAAAGGGUUACUUCUGCAUAAGCAGAUGAAAAAGAAGAAGAAAAUUAACUAAGAAUCAUGAUGAUGUCACCCUCAUAGUUGAAAAGAAGAUGAAUAUAGGUGAAUAGGAUAUCACCUAUAAGCACCAUCUGAUCUAUUGGAGCACUCGUAAAACAUAAUAAACUUAUUAGCUUCUUGUAUUCUUUUAAUAUGAAUGGGGUACCUGCAUCACUUCUCUUCAUUGAAACUCUUCUACACAAACAAAUUCAUGGUGAGCACCCAUUUCUUAUGUCUUACCAUCGCUUUAUUCCUCCUUGCUUUGAGCUUUCUGAGUAAAAGGAAACUAGGAUUUACACCACAUUAUGUAGAGUAAAAAAACGAAAAACAAAAAACACACUAGACAAGACUCCUAGUACCCAAAAAUAAAGGUACAUUAAAGUAAAAGUAAAAAAAAAAAAAUUAAUAUCGUUUCUUUGAUUAAAUGAUCUAGAACUUGAAAACCAAAAAUGAACAAAGAAAAAAAGAAAGCAAAAAAGAGAAUGAUCAACCAAAAGAAAAAUGAUGAAUCCCAAAUAGUUACUAUGGAUACAUUGAAGCCUCUUCCACUAAAUCAAUUUGGUGAAAUAUGGCUUCAAGGGCCAAACAUGAUGCAGGGCAAAGUUUGAUCAAAAGUUUGUGUUAGUUCCUCUUCGCAACGAUUUCUAACAGCAAGUGACCUUAUUUGAAUCUCCCAAUUAAUUAGGUUCCAUUCAAAUUGAACCAUCUUAAUUCAUUUAGAAAGGAAACAUGGUGGUUAAGACAUCAAUUUUGGUUAAAAUCAAAUUAUUACUGUUUUAAUUUUGCCUUGUAUUGACUUGUGAAGCCAAACAUUGUAUUCCUAAUCAGACUGCUUAAUCUCACAAGUGGCUUACCUUGUGUUGUGGGACCUCCUAAGCUAACCCUCAUCUUGCUGACAUCUGAUUUGCCAAAUUAGGCAGAUUAGACCUGUUAGACAUGUUAUAACAUAUAACUUAACACCUAAGAUCCCAAGUUUGAUUCUUUCAAUUGGUCUUUCAAUUAUACCUCUAUGACAUAUGUGAAAUAUAAAACUGCUUCUAAAUUUUAUAUCUCU
rnacentral:lncRNA from 1 species